rfam:Alkalibacterium sp. AK22 ATG3_contig_12, whole genome shotgun sequence.
AAGUCCUUUAAAAGAUAGUCCAGAGAGGCUAAGAAGGAGCAGCAGUUUACCGGAACUUACCAGAGAGUAACAGACCGGUAACAUAUGAACAGUACCGAUGGUUAUGACCAGCAGGCCUGUUUGUAUCCUAUUUGACCUGGUUGAAGCGGAAGCACUCUUAUUCUUUUAAGGAUAAGAGUGCUUUUUU